UAGUUUGAAUGAUCAAGUUGAAAAUGGCUACAAAUAUGACGACUGAUCAAGGUCCUGAUAGAAAUGGUACUGUGUGGACUAUAGAUCAGAAGCUUGAUCAACCCAUGGACGAAGAGGCUAGAAAGCUUAAAAACAUGUACACAGAAAAGAAGCUUUCAGCAGUAAUGCUUCUGCAACUUGCAUUCCAGAGCCUUGGAGUGGUAUAUGGAGAUUUAGGCACAUCUCCGUUGUAUGUUUUCUACAACACUUUCCCUGAUGGAAUUAAAGACCCAGAAGAUUUGAUUGGAGCUUUAUCUUUGAUAAUAUACUCGCUUACUCUUAUUCCGCUUCUCAAGUAGGUGCUAAUUGUUUGUAGAGCAAAUGAUAAUGGUCAAGGCGGAACUUUUGCUAUCUAUUCAUUACUCUGCCGACAUGCAAAAUUGAGAACUAUUCCUAAUCAAGACCGAAGUGAUUUGGAACUUACAACAUAUAGUCGUUCUACAUUUAGUGAACACUCAUUUGCCGCAAGAACCAAGAGGUGGUUGGAGGGAUAUGCAUUUAUGAAGAACACAAUGCUUAUUCUUGUCCUUAUUGGCUCUUGUAUGGUAAUUGGGGAUGGAAUUUUGAC